rnacentral:rRNA from 1 species
GACGUAGGGCGCGAGCGUUGUCCGGAUUUAUUGGGCGUAAAGAGCUCGUAGGCGGCUUGUCGCGUCGACCGUGAAAACUUGGGGCUCAACCCCAAGCCUGCGGUCGAUACGGGCAGGCUCGAGUUCGGUAGGGGAGACUGGAAUUCCUGGUGUAGCGGUGAAAUGCGCAGACAUCAGGAAGAACACCAAUGGCGAAAGCAGCUCUCUGGGACGGUACUGACGCUGAGACGCGAAAGCGUGGGGAGCGAACAGG